rnacentral:lncRNA from 1 species
GUUUGAAAAGUGAUUUAGCCUUUAAAGAAAAACAUAAACUUCACAAUAAAGUUGAGUUACCUCAUAAGCUUUCACGGAUGAACAUAUUUUAAGUACUUAGAGAAAAUCAUCUUUUGACUUGAAAGAAAUAGGUGACCACGACAUUAUAGCAAAGAUAGAAAUAGCAUAUAACAUAUUAUGAAUAGAGAAACAACAACAUCUACCUAAACUAAGGUUUAUUUUUAAGAGCAU